rnacentral:rRNA from 1 species
GGGACACGUGGUAUCCUGUCUGAAUAUGGGGGGACCAUCCUCCAAGGCUAAAUACUCCUGACUGACCGAUAGUGAACCAGUACCGUGAGGGAAAGGCGAAAAGAACCCCGGCGAGGGGAGUGAAAAAGAACCUGAAACCGUGUACGUACAAGCAGUGGGAGCCUCUUAAUGGGGUGACUGCGUACCUUUUGUAUAAUGGGUCAGCGACUUAUAUUCUGUAGCAAGGUUAACCGAAUAGGGGAGCCGAAGGGAAACCGAGUCUUAACUGGGCGUUAAGUUGCAGGGUAUAGACCCGAAACCCGGUGAUCUAGCCAUGGGCAGGUUGAAGGUUGGGUAACACUAACUGGAGGACCGAACCGACUAAUGUUGAAAAAUUAGCGGAUGACUUGUGGCUGGGGGUGAAAGGCCAAUCAAACCGGGAGAUAGCUGGUUCUCCCCGAAAGCUAUUUAGGUAGCGCCUCGUGAAUUCAUCUCCGGGGGUAGAGCACUGUUUCGGCAAGGGGGUCAUCCCGACUUACCAACCCGAUGCAAACUGCGAAUACCGGAGAAUGUUAUCACGGGAGACACACGGCGGGUGCUAACGUCCGUCGUGAAGAGGGAAACAACCCAGACCGCCAGCUAAGGUCCCAAAGUCAUGGUUAAGUGGGAAACGAUGUGGGAAGGCCCAGACAGCCAGGAUGUUGGCUUAGAAGCAGCCAUCAUUUAAAGAAAGCGUAAUAGCUCACUGGUCGAGUCGGCCUGCGCGGAAGAUGUAACGGGGCUAAACCAUGCACCGAAGCUGCGGCAGCGACGCUUAUGCGUUGUUGGGUAGGGGAGCGUUCUGUAAGCCUGUGAAGGUGGCCUGUGAGGGUUGCUGGAGGUAUCAGAAGUGCGAAUGCUGACAUAAGUAACGAUAAAGCGGGUGAAAAGCCCGCUCGCCGGAAGACCAAGGGUUCCUGUCCAACGUUAAUCGGGGCAGGGUGAGUCGACCCCUAAGGCGAGGCCGAAAGGCGUAGUCGAUGGGAAACAGGUUAAUAUUCCUGUACUUGGUGUUACUGCGAAGGGGGGACGGAGAAGGCUAUGUUGGCCGGGCGACGGUUGUCCCGGUUUAAGCGUGUAGGCUGGUUUUCCAGGCAAAUCCGGAAAAUCAAGGCUGAGGCGUGAUGACGAGGCACUACGGUGCUGAAGCGACAAAUGCCCUGCUUCCAGGAAAAGCCUCUAAGCAUCAGGUAACAUUAAAUCGUACCCCAAACCGACACAGGUGGUCAGGUAGAGAAUACCAAGGCGCUUGAGAGAACUCGGGUGAAGGAACUAGGCAAAAUGGUGCCGUAACUUCGGGAGAAGGCACGCUGAUAUGUAGGUGAAGCGACUUGCUCGUGGAGCUGAAAUCAGUCGAAGAUACCAGCUGGCUGCAACUGUUUAUUAAAAACACAGCACUGUGCAAACACGAAAGUGGACGUAUACGGUGUGACGCCUGCCCGGUGCCGGAAGGUUAAUUGAUGGGGUUAGCGGUAACGCGAAGCUCUUGAUCGAAGCCCCGGUAAACGGCGGCCGUAACUAUAACGGUCCUAAGGUAGCGAAAUUCCUUGUCGGGUAAGUUCCGACCUGCACGAAUGGCGUAAUGAUGGCCAGGCUGUCUCCACCCGAGACUCAGUGAAAUUGAACUCGCUGUGAAGAUGCAGUGUACCCGCGGCAAGACGGAAAGACCCCGUGAACCUUUACUAUAGCUUGACACUGAACAUUGAGCCUUGAUGUGUAGGAUAGGUGGGAGGCUUUGAAGUGUGGACGCCAGUCUGCAUGGAGCCGACCUUGAAAUACCACCCUUUAAUGUUUGAUGUUCUAACGUGGGCCCCUUACCGGGGUUGCGGACAGUGUCUGGUGGGUAGUUUGACUGGGGCGGUCUCCUCCUAAAGAGUAACGGAGGAGCACGAAGGUUGGCUAAUCCUGGUCGGACAUCAGGAGGUUAGUGCAAUGGCAUAAGCCAGCUUGACUGCGAGCGUGACGGCGCGAGCAGGUGCGAAAGCAGGUCAUAGUGAUCCGGUGGUUCUGAAUGGAAGGGCCAUCGCUCAACGGAUAAAAGGUACUCCGGGGAUAACAGGCUGAUACCGCCCAAGAGUUCAUAUCGACGGCGGUGUUUGGCACCUCGAUGUCGGCUCAUCACAUCCUGGGGCUGAAGUAGGUCCCAAGGGUAUGGCUGUUCGCCAUUUAAAGUGGUACGCGAGCUGGGUUUAGAACGUCGUGAGACAGUUCGGUCCCUAUCUGCCGUGGGCGCUGGAGAACUGAGGGGGGCUGCUCCUAGUACGAGAGGACCGGAGUGGACGCAUCACUGGUGUUCGGGUUGUCAUGCCAAUGGCACUGCCCGGUAGCUAAAUGCGGAAGAGAUAAGUGCUGAAAGCAUCUAAGCACGAAACUUGCCCCGAGAUGAGUUCUCCCUGACUCCUUGAGAGUCCUGAAGGAACGUUGAAGACGACGACGUUGAUAGGCCGGGUGUGUAAGCGCAGCGAUGCGUUGAGCUAACCGGUACUAAUGAACCGUGAGG